CAAGCUAUUAAUUACCAUGUUAUAACACCCUUAUUUUCUUUUUCUACACCAUUUCUCAUCACUUUCUCUUAUUUUCUCUUCACUAACAUAUCAAAAACAUAGGGCCUUAUGUAAGAAAACUCUACUAUAACAUUAUUUCCAUACUUUGUCAAUAAUAACAAACUUAAAAACAUAUUGAAAUCUUGAUAUACUUACCUUGUUCUAUUGAUACUAAUCUUUAACUUGGUUUUCUC
rnacentral:lncRNA from 1 species